AGAAAUACAUAGAAUUAGAAUAAUAUAAAUAUGAUAGAAUAAAUGGAAAAGGAGUCAAAGUGAUAUAAUACAAAAAAAGAAUCGAGUUCUUUUUUUAGUCUAUCUAAAAUAAAAUAUUUAGUCUAUCUAAAAUAAAAUAGGAGAUCAUAUGAAAAAUGUAACCGAUUCUUUCGUUUCCUUGGGUCACUGGCCAUCCGCCGGGAGUUUCGGGGUUAAUACCGAUAUUUUAGCAACAAAUCCAAUAAAUCUAAGCGUAGUCCUUGGUGUAUUGAUAUUUUUUUGGAAAGGGAGUGUUAAAUGAUUUAUUGGAU